CACGUAGUUAGCCGUCCCUUUCUGGUAAGCUACCGUCACAGUGCGAACUUUCCACUCUCACACCCGUUCUUGACUUACAACAGAGCUUUACGAUCCGAAAACCUUCUUCACUCACGCGGCGUUGCUCGGUCAGGGUUGCCCCCAUUGCCGAAGAUUCCCUACUGCUGCCUCCCGUAGGAGUCUGGGCCGUGUCUCAGUCCCAGUGUGGCCGAUCACCCUCUCAGGUCGGCUAUGUAUCGUCGCCUAGGUGAGCCAUUACCUCACCUACUAGCUAAUACAACGCAGGUCCAUCUUGUAGUGGAGCAAUUGCCCCUUUCAAAUAAAUGACAUGUGUCAUCCAUUGUUAUGCGGUAUUAGCUAUCGUUUCCAAUAGUUAUCCCCCGCUACAAGGCAGGUUACCUACGCGUUACUCACCCGUUCGCAACUCAUCCAAGAAGAGCAAGCUCCUCUCUUCAGCGUUCUACUUGCAUGUAUUAGGCACGCCGCCAGCGUUCGU
rnacentral:rRNA from 1 species